AAUGAACGCUGGCGGCAGGCCUAACACAUGCAAGUCGAGCGGAUGAAGGGAGCUUGCUCCUGGAUUCAGCGGCGGACGGGUGAGUAAUGCCUAGGAAUCUGCCUGGUAGUGGGGGAUAACGUCCGGAAACGGGCGCUAAUACCGCAUAGGUCCUGAUGGAGAAAGGGGGGGAUCUUCGGACCUCACGCUAUCAGAUGAGCCUAGGUCGGAUUAGCUAGUUGGUGGGGUAAAGGCCUACCAAGGCGACGAUCCGUAACUGGUCUGAGAGGAUGAUCAGUCACACUGGAACUGAGACACGGUCCAGACUCCUACGGGAGGCAGCAGUGGGGAAUAUUGGACAAUGGGCGAAAGCCUGAUCCAGCCAUGCCGCGUGUGUGAAGAAGGUCUUCGGAUUGUAAAGCACUUUUAGUUGGGAGGAAGGGCAGUAAGUUAAUACCUUGCUGUUUUGACGUUACCAACAGAAUAAGCACCGGCUAACUUCGUG
rnacentral:rRNA from 1 species